GUAAGAGAGAUCUUCCGUAUCAUCUUUCCCAGAAACUCCUAGCUGACUAUUCUUGCCCUCAUUGGCAGGGAUUCAGUGAAAAGCACACCUCAGAUCAAUUUGGAACGAAAAAUGAGAUAAUUGGCUUAGGGCACCACAUUUGUUCCUUGGGCUAGGUAAACUAGAAUGGACUUUUAGCAAGAAAAAAUAAAUAAAUAAAAAGGCCUUUAGGUAGGCCACUAGUAAUGUUUUACAUAAGACUUUUUUCC
rnacentral:lncRNA from 1 species